rnacentral:tRNA from 1 species
GGGACCUUAGCUCAGUUGGUAGAGCGCCUGCUUUGCAAGCAGGAUGUCAGGAGUUCGAAUCUCCUAGGUUCCACCA